rnacentral:rRNA from 1 species
UCUACGGGAGGCAGCAGUGGGGAAUCUUGCGCAAUGCGCGAAAGCGUGACGCAGCAACGCCGCGUGAGGGAAGAAGGCCUUAGGGUUGUAAACCUCUUUCAGUUGGGACGAAGGUCGGCACGUUAAUAGCGUGUCCGACUGACGGUACCUUCACAAGAAGCCCCGGCUAACUACGUGCCAGCAGCCGCGGUAAUA